rnacentral:rRNA from 1 species
UACGGGGGGGGCAAGCGUUGUUCGGAAUUACUGGGCGUAAAGGGCUCGUAGGCGGCCAACUAAGUCAGACGUGAAAUCCCUCGGCUUAACCGGGGAACUGCGUCUGAUACUGGAUGGCUUGAAUCCGGGAGAGGGAUGCGGAAUUCCAGGUGUAGCGGUGAAAUGCGUAGAUAUCUGGAGGAGCACCGGUGGCGAAGGCGGCAUCCUGGACCGGCAUUGACGCUGAGGCGCGAAAGCGUGGGGAGCAAACAGG